rnacentral:lncRNA from 1 species
AUGCUUCGCACUCGGCGGAGACGGGAGCGAAGGAGGGGGCGUGUAAACACGCGCCCCUUUUCGGCCCAAAAAAAAAAGAAAAUUAAAAAACAAAAUUUAAAAUGCAUGCAGUAGUCCGUUUUUUACCGUUUUUUUUCCCGUUGUCCCUUUUUUCUUUUUUCUUUUUUUAUUUCUAUACCCCCUCUAUAUAUACAUAUACAACCUCAUUUUCUUCUUCAUCCUCAAUCAUUCAUCCAUUCUCCUCAUUCAUCCAUUCUCCUCAUCUUCUAAAUUAUUUCAACAAAUAGCAAUGGAAGGCGAUUGGAGCAACUAUUGGCGUGAACAUCCUCAAAAUCCAUCCCCCGGCGAAUCAAAUGCUUCCAGGCAAGGAUUCUCGCCGUUCACGCAAGAAUCGAAUG